GAUGAACGCUGGCGGCGUGCCUAAUACAUGCAAGUCGAGCGAACAGACGAGGAGCUUGCUCCUCUGACGUUAGCGGCGGACGGGUGAGUAACACGUGGAUAACCUACCUAUAAGACUGGGAUAACUUCGGGAAACCGGAGCUAAUACCGGAUAACAUGUUGAACCGCAUGGUUUAACAGUGAAAGACGGUCUUGCUGUCACUUAUUGAUGGAUCCGCGCCGCAUUAGCUAGUUGGUAAGGUAACGGCUUACCAAGGCAACGAUGCGUAGCCGACCUGAGAGGGUGAUCGGCCACACUGGAACUGAGACACGGUCCAGACUCCUACGGGAGGCAGCAGUAGGGAAUCUUUCGCAAUGGGCGAAAGCCUGACGGAGCAACGCCGCGUGAGUGAAGAAGGUCUUCGGAUCGUAAAACUCUGUUAUUAGGGAAGAACAAAUGUGUAAGUAACUAUGCACGUCUUGACGGUACCUAAUCAGAAAGCCACGGCUAACUACGUG
rnacentral:rRNA from 1 species